ACUACGGGUGGCAGCAGUGGGGAAUAUUGGACAAUGGGCGCAAGCCUGAUCCAGCUAUUCCGCGUGUGGGAAGACGGCCCUCGGGUUGUAAAACACUUUUGUAGAGAACGAAAAGUCUGUUGCUCAUACCGAUAUAUGAUGAAUGUACUCUCAGAAUACGCACCGGCUCACUCCGUGACACCAGCCGAGGUGAUACGUCGGGUGCGAGCGUUAAUCGGAAUUACUUGGCGUAAACGGUCUGCAGGCGGUUUGGCAAGAUGGAUGUGAAAGCCUCGGGCUUAACCUGGGAAAGCCAUACAUGACUGCAAGACUAGAGUGCGUCAGAGGGAGGUGGAAUUCCAAGUGUAGCAGUGAAAUGCGUAGAUAUUGGGAAGAACACCGAUUGCGAAGGCAGCCCCCUGGGACGCAACUGACGCUCAUACACGAAAGCGUGGGGAGCAAACAGGAUUAGAUACCCCAGUAGUC
rnacentral:rRNA from 1 species